GAUGAACGCUGGCGGCGUGCCUAAUACAUGCAAGUCGAGCGAAAAGACGAGGAGCUUGCUCCUCUGACGUUAGCGGCGGACGGGUGAGUAACACGUGGAUAACCUACCUAUAAGACUGGGAUAAAUUCGGGAAACCGGAGCUAAUACUGGAUAACAUGUUGAACCGGUUGGUGCAACAGUGAAAGACGGUCUUGCUGUCAAUUAUCGAUGGAUCCGCGCCGCAUUAGCUAGUUGGUAAGGUAACGGCUUACCAAGGGAACGAUGGGUAGCCGACCGGAGAGGGGGAUCGGCCACACGGGAACUGAGACGCGGUCCUGGCGCCGACGGGAGGCAGCAGUACGGAAGGGGCGGCAAUGGGCGAAAUCCUGACGAAGCAGCGCCGCGUUGGUGAAGCAGGGCCGCGGAUCGUAAGACUCUGUUAUGGGUGAAGAACAAAUGUGUAAGUAACGAAGCACUGCGUGACGGUACCGAAUCAAAAAGCCACGGCUAACUACGUG
rnacentral:rRNA from 1 species